rnacentral:tRNA from 1 species
UUAGUUGAAGCUAAAGUCGGAAGCAUCUCACUGUUAAUGGGAUUUAGGAAAAUUUUAUUCCCAGCUAAG